rnacentral:ncRNA from 1 species
AAAGGACUUGGUCCCAAUCCUUUAAUUGACUGCAACUACAACUACACAUGCAAGUAUCAGCACCCCUGUGAAAAUGCCCUUAUUGCCAAUAGCAAAAACGGAGCUGGUAUCAGGCACAAAUAAGCCCAUAACACCUUGUUCAACCACACCCCUAAGGGAACUCAGCAGUGAUAAACAUUGAAAAUAAGCGAAAGCUUGACUCAGUAAUAGCUUAAAGAGUCGGUCAAUAUCGUGCCAGCCGCCGCGGUUAUACGAAAGACCCAAGUCAAUAAAUACGGCCUAAAGAGUGCUUAAAGAAAUAAAUAAAUAAAUAGAAUUAAAAAAUAACUUAGCUGUUAUACGCAAGUAAAUAUAAACCUAAACAUAUUCUAAUAUAAUUAUAACUUGAACUCACGACUGCUAAGAAACAAACUGGGAUUAGAUACCCCACUAUGCUUAGCUGUAAACUUUGAUCUUCUCCGCCAGAGUACUACGAGCCAAGCUUAAAACUCAAAGGACUUGGCGGUGCCCUACAUACCCCUAGAGGAGCCUGUUCUAUAAUCGAUAACCCCCGAUAAACCUCACCACCAAUUGCCAAUACAGCUUAUAUACCACCGCCCUCAGUCUACCCUUUUAAGGAAAUAAAGUUAACACAACUAUUUAAUAUAAAAAAGUCAGGUCAAGGUGUAGCAUAUGAGGUGGAAAGAAAUGGGCUACAUUUUCUGAAAACUGAAAACACAAAAGACUUAAUGAAAAUAUAUCUGAAGGAGGAUUUAGUAGUAAAAAGAAAAUAGAGUGUUCUUUUUAAACCAAUAACAGGGCACGCACACACCGCCCGUCACCCUCUUUAAACAAAAUAAACUUAUUAAAUAGAAGAGGAAAGUCGUAACAAGGUAAGCUCACUGGAAGGUAAGCUUGGAAUAAC